UUGUGAACUUUUUGAUGUUUGCUUGUAUGUGAUAGGGAUCCCACUUUGAGAUUGUGAAAAGAGGACCAUUGUCACAAGUAGCCAAGUUAAGAGACAAGCCAAAUGGAGAUCCUAGGAGCUUGAAUUCAAUUUGUUGAUUGCUUGUUUGUGUGCUAAGUCUAGAGGAAAGGAGCAUCUUGAAUCAUCUCUAUGAUUCCACGAAAAGGAA
rnacentral:lncRNA from 1 species